rnacentral:rRNA from 2 species
UUUAUUGGAGAGUUUGAUCCUGGCUCAGGACGAACGCUGGCGGCGUGCCUAAUACAUGCAAGUCGAGCGGACCUUUCAAGAGCUUGCUCUUGAAAGGUUAGCGGCGGACGGGUGAGUAACACGUGGGCAACCUGCCCUGUAGACUGGGAUAACUUCGGGAAACCGGAGCUAAUACCAGAUAAUCAAUCACACCACAUGGUGUGAUUGUAAAAGUUGGGAAUUCUAACACUACGGGAUGGGCCCGCGACGCAUUAGCUAGUUGGUGAGGUAAUGGCUCACCAAGGCGACGAUGCGUAGCCGACCUGAGAGGGUGAUCGGCCACACUGGGACUGAGACACGGCCCAGACUCCUACGGGAGGCAGCAGUAGGGAAUCUUCCGCAAUGGACGAAAGU